AAGCAUUGUACUUUGUCGUUGUCGAUAAUUCGAUAUACGAGUUGAAGUACUAUACUUUGUCGUUUGUCAUUUUGAUAAAUGAGCUGAAGUAUUGCACUUGGACAUUCAUUGUAAAAAUUGAUCUCGGGGAAUUAUCGUAACUGCUGUAUUGAUCAUUAACCUGGUUCUUGUAAAAUUCGUUAAGAGUUGAUUUAGGUUUUCACCAAUACGUAUUCCAUUCUGUUAAACUACCAAGAAUACUCCCAACUACACCCUUACAAUCAAACAAACUAUAAAAUCAUCAGAAGAUCCAGAAUAAUAAAGUGCAUGCUUAAUUAUCGGAAGAAGUAGAAUCAGGAAGUUUGUUAAUUCAAUCCUGCAUGCUGAUUGUAAUUACAAUAGAUUGGAGCAAGGAUUGGAUCCGACACUAAAGGACUUCAAGAAGUGGCUUAUUUUAUUAAUUAAAUCAAUUAAGAAAUAUUGUUUUUAUUAAAAGCUACCUUUGUAAAACAUGGAAUUUAUUCCAUCUUUUUAAAUAAAAUCCGGUGUUUCUAAACUCUGAUAUUUUUCCUAACUCACGGUCCUGAUGAAAUUUCCGCUGCAAUGUUUUUCAAAAUAAUCACCGGUACCACUGGACUGCUCACGGCACCGAUUCCGGCUAGAUGGGGUCGGGGGUCGUGACAC
rnacentral:lncRNA from 1 species